rnacentral:lncRNA from 1 species
AACAUUCUGUGCCAUACAGCAUCGCCGGCCUUAUUGCCGUCCUAUAAAAUUUUCCCUUGAGCUUCAGUGGCCUACGACGGUCACACAACACGCCGGAUGCACUCUUCCACUUCAUCCAUCCAGCUUGUAUUCUAUGGUUGAGAUCUCCAUCUAAUUCUCCGUUCUUUUGCAAGAUAGAUCCUAGGUAGCGAAAACGGUCGCU